GCCCCCACAGCCAUGUUAGGAAUAGGAGGAGAACCUCGUCCUAACAUGAGCAAAGUUGAAGAUCCGGUUAUUAAGAGACCGGAUGGGGGGAGAGGCUCUCGUAACGGUCCUUAUGUGCCCCCACAGCCAUGUUAGGAAUAGGAGGAGAACUUCGUCUUAACAUGAGCAAAGUCAAAGAUCCAGUUAUUAAGAGACCGGAUGGAGGGAGAGACCCUUGCAACGGCCUUUAUGCGCCCCCGCAGCCAUAUUAGGAAUAGGAGGAGAACCUCGUCCUAACAUGAGCAAAGUCGAAGACUCGAUUAUUAAGGGACCAGAUGGGGGGAGAGGCUCUCGCAACGGUCCUUAUGUGCCCCCACAGCCCUGUUAGGAACAGGAGAAAAAUCUUGUCCUAACAUGAGCUGAAAUUGACUGUGUCGGAAACAGGAGGAGAAUCUCGUUCUGACACAAACGAAGACCUGAUCGUUUAAGAUCGGAUGAGGAGAAAAACCUCCUCAACGGCUCCUCUACACCCCUACAACCUCGUUAGGAGCAGAGAAAAAAUCCUCGUUCAAACAUAAAAAAAUG
rnacentral:lncRNA from 1 species